GGGCCCGCACAAGCGGUGGAGUAUGUGGUUUAAUUCGAUGCAACGCGAAGAACCUUACCAGGGUUUGACAUCCUGCGAAUCUCUUGGAAACGAGAGAGUGCCUUCGGGAACGCAGUGACAGGUGGUGCAUGGCUGUCGUCAGCUCGUGUCGUGAGAUGUUGGGUUAAGUCCCGCAACGAGCGCAACCCACGUCGUUAGUUGCCAGCAUUUAGUUGAGUACUCUAGACGAACUGCCAGUGAUAAGCUGGAGGAAGGUGGGGAUGACGUCAAGUCCUCAUGGCCCUUACGUGUUGGGCUACACACGUGCUACAAUGGUACUUACAAUAAGAUGCGAAGAGGCGACUCUAAGCCAAUCUUAAAAAUGUAUCUCAGUUCGGAUUGCACUCUGCAACUCGAGUGCAUGAAGCUGGAAUUGCUAGUAAUCGC
rnacentral:rRNA from 1 species